rnacentral:rRNA from 1 species
CCUACGGGUGGCAGCAGUGAGGAAUAUUGGUCAAUGGGCGCAAGCCUGAACCAGCCAAGUCGCGUGAAGGAUGACUGCCCUACGGGUUGUAAACCUCUUUUGUAAAGGAGUAAAGGUAGCCACGUGUGCCUCUUUGCGAGUACUUUAUGAAUAAGGAUCGGCUAACUCCGUGCCAGCAGCCGCGGUAAUACGGAGGAUGCGAGCGUUAUCCGGAUUUAUUGGGUUUAAAGGGUGCGUAGGCGGACUGUUAAGUCAGCGGUAAAAUGUCGGGGCUAAACCCCGGCGAGCCGUUGAAACUGGCGUUCUUGAGAGGGCGAGAGGUAUGCGGAAUGCGUGGUGUAGCGGUGAAAUGCUUAGAUAUCACGCAGAACACCGAUUGCGAAGGCAGCAUACCGGCGGCGAUCUGACGCUGAGGCACGAAAGCGUGGGUAUCGAACAGGAUUAGAUACCCGUGUAGUC